rnacentral:lncRNA from 1 species
GCGCGCCGCGUGAGUCCGAGCCGGCCGCUCAGAGCGCUCCAGGCUGGGUUCCCGGGCCCCGCCGCGCCGCCUCCUUCCCAGCUCGCCCGCCCAGGCCUGGCCUCCUGCUUUUCCAUUUGAUUCCCUGCCUCUUUCUAUUCGGACUGGAAUGCCGGGCCAGGCUCCGGGGCGCGCCGCUGCGGCAGCCGCACCUCGCAGGUCCCCCGGCCGACCCCGACGCGGAAGCGGCGGCCCUCCUCGCCGUCGGGGAGCCAGGGAGCCGGGGACGGUUCUCGCUAUGUUGCCCAGCCUGAGGCUGGGCAGCCCCGAGUCAUCCCAAACUCCUGGGCUCCAGCAAUCAUCCCACCUUGGCCUCCCAAAGCGCUGGGACAACAGGCGUGAACCACUGCACCCAAUGUUUACAUUCCUGAUCUCCUUUAAUCGCCACCAUAACUAUCAGCUGGUACAUGCUAUUAUCUCCUUUUUUGCAGAUCAGUCACAUAAGGCUUAGAGGAUCAAGGAUCCUGCCCAGAUGACUUACCGAAAUGUUACAGAUUAAGUUGGUGUGGUAACCUGGGCUGAGCACUCUGGGAGAGGAAGAGAAGAGAGAAGACAGGAAACAACUGAACUAUGACCAAUCCCAGCACGGAGGCCCAGAAAACUUUAAGAUUUGAGUAUUAAUGUCUCAAGGUCAGGAGCAACCUCAAGGCUAAAACUCAGAUCUCAGGACUCAAUUUCACAGAAGUUCCACUAUAAAGGCAAUAAUCUAAAGCUUUAAAUGAUAUGAAAAUUUUGUAAUAAGAGUUCAGUAUUUCUGCCAACAUUGGCGCAUGGAUUGCAAAGUUCACAGGAUUGAAAACACCAUCGACAUAAUGGAAAUUGAACAGCAUCUGAUUACUGAGUGCUAUAUCAGCAAGUUAAAAGGAUCUUUUGCAUACCUUUUAAUGGUAUAUAUCCUAAAACUGAAGUGUUCAAUAUAGACAUCCAGAUUGAAACUCAGGCAGUGAAUUACAUACACAACAAAUCAGUUGAACAUGGCAGAGCUUGUCAGACUUAUGAAAGAUUAAAUACAUUUUACAUUUCCACAAGUGUGGUAU